AACAUUUCGAUAUUGGAAUCACUUUCCUUCUUCCUCGGGCCAGCCUUUGCUCUGUCCCCUCAGGUCAACUCAAGGUAGACAGUGUGGCGACUGGAGAGGUCGGGGAACAAGCUUUGUUUCAGCUAAGGGGAAAACAAGCGUUCACAGGAGUCCCCUGACACCUCCCACUCGGAAGAUAGCUAACGGGGGUCCUGCCAACCCUUCCCAUCCAACUUCCAUCUGAAAAGGAUUUUCUGCUAAAGUUGGGUCCAUGGCCAUCCAGCACCUGUAAGGCCGGCAGGAGCGUCUGCCCUCUACUCAGUUAAAGCCUGAAGUCGUUUCCUUUCGAUGGCCCUUAGGAGGCCCAAAAGAGGGGCGACAGAACAUGAUGUUGACACGGGCUGGGCGCCCCCAGAAGCCCGGGAACAAACGUUUCUACUUUCCAGGUCCACUGGUGUUUGGUGUACCCAUGUGACUAAUUUGUCCAAAGAGAGAUUUCUGUGAAUAGACCAGAAGCCGACCUUUACAGUGUGUUUGGGUGCAGAUUCUAGAGGAUGUCUGUGUGCCUUUCUCCCCUUUCAAACGAUAGGGAAGAUAUACUGAGUCCUGUCUUCAGCUAGGGGAUGCCCUGGCCUCCUUCCUAUCUUCAAAGCCUGCAAGAGUGGGCUGAGUCCUUCUCACUCCACCCUCUUCUUUUGUGUACCUUUUCCACUUGUAAGGACCCUUGUAAUUGCAUUGGAUUCACCUGGAUAACCCAGACUGAUCUCCCUAUUUUAAGGUCAGUUGAUUAACAAACUUUUUGCUAUGUAAUUUAACAUAGGUUCUAGGAAUUAGGAUGUGGUGGAAAGGUAUUUUUGCACCAGUCGCAAAUGACUUAGUUAUCAGUUUCAUUUUAUUAUCAGAAAUCAACUCAUUUUGUUAUCAAAGUUAUUUGCUAUUCUUUGCUACUUCAUUCAAAACUGGAAUCCUGAGUAGUGCUCAUUUGGACAUAAAGCCCCAUGGUUCUACCCACUUGCUUUGGUUGUACUAUUGAGAGCAGAAACUUCAAAUCCAGGAUCUGUUGUCCUCUAGGGAGUCCUGUAAUUCAUUCUGCUUCUUCCUGGAGGAGUUGCAAAAGGGAGCCCCCACUGGGUGGAGCAAUUAGAAAGUGGUUCCAGGACUCAUGGUUUGGUGAGAAGAUAAAGGAUAGAUUUCAGCACCACCCCAGCAGGGUACAACCUACACACAGCAGCCCUCCCACCUCACUUAGAGUUUCUAUAGACUAUGCCCCAUGUUUUCAGCCUCUGCCUUAAACAUUUAUUUGCUCUAAGCUUCUAAAGGGUAACCUGUGUCUUAUAAAGUCCCUUUACGGCUUAUCUUAGUGCUGAGGACGGGGUAAACCCUCUGGACCCUGUCUUGCUGUGAUCUACAAGUGACAAUACAAAACCACACCCUCUUUUUAGACAAAAUUUAGGCAUUUAAAAAUAAUAGUUUAUAGAUUUCUAGCUAUGUAAGAUGAUUUAUUGAGUGAUUAAAAGCAAUCUUAUUUAUGAUAAGUUAAAAAAAUCAGGAUUCAUCUUCUAUACAUUUCUGCUCACAGUUAGAAUCUGAAUGUCCUGUCAUCUGUGUAGGCUCAAGGAAUUAGCUACUCAGAGAACCCAGAAAUGGCCAGGAGCCCUUGGAAGAACAGUCUCUCUGUGACCCCAUUAGCUUCGAGUCCCAGUUUCCCUGGAAAAAGUAGGGUGAGGUGUCUGACAUUUUAUUGAGAUAAAUUUUCUGGAAUAGGGUUCACUCCAAGUAGAACUUCCCUGCUCUUAGGUUUAUUAAGUUUCCUAGAUAUUUGGGGAAGGAAUUCUAGAUGUCUUGCGGUCAUUUUCUCAUUCUGCAAGUUCUGCUGAAAUCCAGCAUAUCAAGGAACAGUUGGAAGCACAGUAUGUCUAAGAGGGAGUUUUGAAAAUACAUAGAGGAAUUUAGAAAGAAGUUUUAGGACACGAAUUACAAACUUCAACUAGUUCCUAACUUUUUUGGGGCUGUUUUUGAAUGAAAAGUUGUGAUGGAUUUCUAGUACAGUCAUGCACUGCUUAGUGAUGGGAAUAUAUUUUGAGAAAUGUGUCAUUAGAUGAUUUCAUCACACGCACUUUAUACAAUGUACUUACACAAACCUAGAUGGUAUAGCCUACUACACACCUAGGCUAUGUGGGAUAGCCUAUUGCUCCUAGGCUACAAACCUGUACAGCAUGUUAUUGUACUGAAUGCUGUAGGCAAUUGUAAUACAAUGGUAAAUAUUUGU
ensembl:lncRNA ARRDC3-AS1 ARRDC3 antisense RNA 1